UUGGCGGCCUAAAUUCUUUUCAGAGGAACUCGCAUCUUAAUCCGAUAAUCCCCGUUAAUUUUCUCUUUUUCUCAAAGUAUUUAUAUCGCCGUCUCAAGAUUAAACUAUAAAAUUUAAUCUCAAAUUUUAUUACAUCACGUCAGGUCGAGAUAAAGCCAAUAAAAAAGGGAGCCGAGUUACUUAUUCUUUUUAUUAAUGAUUCAAAUAUUCAAAAAUUUUGGAUUCCAGGAUUUGAUAGUAAUAUUACAAUAAUAUUCUCUUAUGAAAAAGUUCAUAAAGGUGUACAUAUCGCCCGUCACCCUCGUCUAAAGAUGAGGUAAGUCGUAACACAGUUAAUGUACUGGAAAGUGCAUUAAGGG
rnacentral:rRNA from 1 species